rnacentral:snoRNA from 1 species
UCCCUAGAGGUGGCUGCUGCAUUGUGUACAGUAGUUGACAUGACAGAGAAGAGAGAGUUUAUGUCUGUGCUCAGUAUUCUGACCUGUGAACCUCUGAAUGAUUACUAGCCUAACAUU